CCUACGGGAGGCAGCAGUGAGGAAUAUUGGUCAAUGGGAGAGAUCCUGAACCAGCCAAGCCGCGUGAGGGAAGACGGCCCUAUGGGUUGUAAACCUCUUUUGUCGGGGAACAAAACCCGGGACGUGUCCCGGACUGCGUGUAUCCGAAGAAAAAGCAUCGGCUAACUCCGUGCCAGCAGCCGCGGUAAUACGGAGGAUGCGAGCGUUAUCCGGAUUUAUUGGGUUUAAAGGGUGCGUAGGCGGUUUGAUAAGUUAGAGGUGAAAUGUCGGGGCUCAACCCCGAAACUGCAUUUAAUACUGGUGGACUAGAGAACAGUUGAGGUAGGCGGAAUGUGUGGUGUAGCGGUGAAAUGCUUAGAGAUCAUACAGAACACCGAUUGUGAAGGCAGCUUACCAAACUAUAUCUGACGUUGAGGCACGAAAGCGUGGGUAGCAAACAGGAUUAGAUACCCCUGUAGUC
rnacentral:rRNA from 1 species